CUUUUGCAGUGAUGAGUUGCAUGUCAGUCCGUGUUUCACCUGAGAAUCCUGUGAUUAUGCACAUGCACUGAGCAAGUC